AUUGAACGCUGGCGGCGUGCUUAACACAUGCAAGUCGAUCGGUAACAGGUGUAGCAAUACAUGCUGACGAGAGGCGGACGGGUGAGGAAGAUUUGGGAAUCUGCCCAUCAGCGGGGGACAACCCGGGGAAACUCGGGCUAAUAACGCAUACGCUCUACGGAGGAAAGCCGGGGACCGCAAGGCCUGGCACUGAUGGAUGAGCCCAAAUCGGAUUAGCUAGUUGGCGGGGUAACGGCCCACCAAGGCGACGAUCCCUAGCUGGUCUGAGAGGACGAUCAGCCACACCGGAACUGAGACACGGUCCGGACUCCUACGGGAGGCAGCAGUGGGGAAUAUUGGACAAUGGGGGAAACCCUAAUCCAGCGACGCCGCGUGGGUGAAGAAGGCCUGCGGGUUGUAAAGCCCUUUCGGUAGGGAAGAAAUCUCUUGCUCUAACAAAGCAAGGGUUUGACUUAACCUACAUAAGAAGCACCGGCUAACUCUGUGCCAGCCGCCGCGGUAA
rnacentral:rRNA from 1 species